GAUGAACGCUGGCGGCGUGCCUAAUACAUGCAAGUCGAGCGAACGGACGAGAAGCUUGCUUCUCUGAUGUUAGCGGCGGACGGGUGAGUAACACGUGGAUAACCUACCUAUAAGACUGGGAUAACUUCGGGAAACCGGAGCUAAUACCGGAUAAUAUUUUGAACCGCAUGGUUCAAAAGUGAAAGACGGUCUUGCUGUCACUUAUAGAUGGAUCCGCGCUGCAUUAGCUAGUUGGUAAGGUAACGGCUUACCAAGGCAACGAUGCAUAGCCGACCUGAGAGGGUGGUCGGCCACACUGGAACUGAGCCACGGUCCAUACUCCUACGGGAGGCAGCAGUAGGGAAUCUUCCGCAAUGGGCGAAAGCCUGACGGAGCAACGCCGCGUGAGUGAUGAAGGUCUUCGGAUCGUAAAACUCUGUUAUUAGGGAAGAACAUAUGUGUAAGUAACUGUGCACAUCGUGACGGUACCUAAUCAGAAAGCCACGGCUAACUACGUG
rnacentral:rRNA from 1 species